rnacentral:rRNA from 1 species
UACGUAGGGUGCAAGCGUUGUCCGGAAUUAUUGGGCGUAAAGAGCUCGUAGGCGGUUUGUCGCGUCUGCUGUGAAAACUCGGGGCUUAACCCCGGGCCUGCAGUGGGUACGGGCAGACUAGAGUGCGGUAGGGGAGACUGGAAUUCCUGGUGUAGCGGUGAAAUGCGCAGAUAUCAGGAGGAACACCGGUGGCGAAGGCGGGUCUCUGGGCCGUAACUGACGCUGAGGCGCGACAGCGUGGGGAGCAAACAGG